UACGUAGGGGCAAGCGUUGUCCGGAUUCAUUGGGCGUAAAGAGCGUGUAGGCGGCCAGGUAGGUCGGUUGUGAAAACUGGAGGCUCAACCUUCAGAGGUCGACCGAAACCAUCUGGCUAGAGUCCGGGAGAGGAGAGUGGAAUUCCUAGUGUAGAGGUGAAAUUCGUAGAUAUGGGGGAGGAACACCGGUGGCGAAGGCGGCCACCUGGACGGUAACUGACGCUGAGACGCGAAAGCGUGGGGAGCAAACAGG
rnacentral:rRNA from 1 species